rnacentral:rRNA from 1 species
GAUGAACGCUGGCGGCGUGCUUAACACAUGCAAGUCGAGCGAAGCACUUACCAUUGACUCUUCGGAAGAUUUGGUAAAUGACUGAGCGGCGGACGGGUGAGUAACGCGUGGGUAACCUGCCUCAUACAGGGGAAUAACAGUUAGAAAUGGCUGCUAAUGCCGCAUAAGCGCACAGUACCGCAUGGUACGGUGUGAAAAACCGAGGUGGUAUGAGAUGGACCCGCGUCUGAUUAGGUAGUUGGUGGGGUAACGGCCUACCAAGCCGACGAUCAGUAGCCGGCCUGAGAGGGUGAACGGCCACAUUGGGACUGAGACACGGCCCAGACUCCUACGGGAGGCAGCAGUGGGGAAUAUUGCACAAUGGGGGAAACCCUGAUGCAGCGACGCCGCGUGAAGGAAGAAGUAUCUCGGUAUGUAAACUUCUAUCAGCAGGGAAG